UACGAAGGGGGCAAGCGUUGUUCGGAAUUACUGGGCGUAAAGGGCGCGCAGGCGGCCAAUCAAGUCAGAUGUGAAAGCCCCGGGCUCAACCUGGGAAUAGCAUUUGGGACUGAUAGGCUAGAGAUCGGGAGAGGAGAGUGGAACUGCGAGUGUAGAGGUGAAAUUCGUAGAUAUUCGCAAGAACACCAGUGGCGAAGGCGGCUCACUGGCCCGAUACUGACGCUGAGGCACGAAAGCGUGGGGAGCAAACAGG
rnacentral:rRNA from 1 species